rnacentral:rRNA from 1 species
UACGGGGGGGGCAAGCGUUGUUCGGAAUUACUGGGCGUAAAGCGCGCGUAGGCGGCUCUUCAAGUCGAGUGUGAAAGCUCCAGGCUUAACCUGGGAAUUGCGCUCGAUACUGCUGGGCUAGAGUCCGGAAGAGGCGAGUGGAAUUCCUGGUGUAGCGGUGAAAUGCGCAGAUAUCAGGAGGAACACCGAUGGCGAAGGCAGCUCGCUGGGACGGUACUGACGCUGAGGAGCGAAAGCAUGGGGAGCGAACAGG